ACCGUUGGAAAAAAGCACCACAUUCAUUGACCGCCUCUCGUCUCUUCUGAGUCGCCUCGAAUUCUCUGGCUGCGACGCCGCCGCCGAUGCCGGCUGCUCAUCGUGGCUUUAGGCGCCGCCGACGUGGAAGCAAUCUCCGUGUUUAUUUAAUCGAUGAGGCGGAAUUCACGUCACUAUCGACCUUCUCACGGACUCGCCGUCUGAUUUUGUUGACGCCGAUUCUCGCUGAGCGGUGAGAGGCGCUCCAGGAUCCACUGAGCAGUCGCUGCCGUCGGAGUCUCACUUCGGUCGGUGUCAUACUCCAGCCAUCUCGGCUGCAUUGUCACUGUCAAUUUCGUCGGACUGCUGUGGACUUCGCGGCUUAGAUGAGAAGGAUCUGUUUCUCAACAUGUUCAUUCGGUUCAUAGAGGACUAUUAGAAACUGUCAGAUGACAAAGUGUCCGCAGUUAGCAAGAACUUAUGUUCACUGUUAAGUCAUGCAGAGUCUUUAGUUGCAGGAUUUUUGAAUGAAGAUGAUGUACAACUGCCGAGGUUAUUUGUAAGUCAGUUUGAGUGCCGAAUCGUUCGUUCUGCAUCGGAAAAUUAUUUAGUCCAUGAGCUUGGGAAGAGGUUGACUGCAGGAGCAACUAGCUUCCUAUAUUGGACUCCCGGCCCUGAUGAAAAAAGAGGAAUAAGCUUCAUAAAAAGGAAUUUUAAUGCCAGAAAAGGAAGGUUUCCAGCAGGUAGGACAUCCGAGCUUUUAUUGUAGUCGUCAAAUCUUGGUCUUUGCGGAUUCUGGAAAGUCUUUGUGUUUGAGUCAGAUCAUAGAGCAAUCAUGCUGCGUUUGAGGCUACUGAGAUAAUUCAACAUAUUCUAGUGUUACUCGUAGUCGAUUUGAAGUCUCUAAGCAUUUAGAUUCAUUCUUGCAAAUGCCAUCUCUUGUGCAACUAAGGUUCUUGCAUUGCUGAAAAAAUGUUUGGUAUAGAUUCAAGAGAGUUAAAUGCUCCCACCGAGGCAAGUUACCCGAAGGGCCAACUGGAACGUAAUACAAAGUGCUUGGCAGAUGUCGUCUCAGAUGCUUCAAAUUUUCGGUCAUUCAUUAUGAUAAACUUUACUCUACAAAUGUGUUCCUUUAGAGGGAAGCUCUAGCAGCAAUCUUUCUAUUCCCUCAUGGAGAGUUUGUAUCUGGCUGGUGAUCGUCUAAUGUUCUAGUUUGUGAAGAGGAUGCACCAUUAGAUGUACCUCGUUCAUCUUAUGCUCAUUAGAAAACGACUUUGUUGAUUAAAGUGAUUGCAAACCUUCAUUGUUUUGUUCCUGAUGUAUACCGGGAUGAGAACGAUCUGUUUCUCAACAUGUUCAUUCGGUUCAUAGAGAAGGACACUGUCAGCAUUUUGGUAUGCGAGAAGGUACUAGGUUUCCCAGCAGGAAAGACUGUGUUUGAGGCAGAUUACAGAGCAAUCAUGCUGCUGCUAGUGUUACUCGUAUUCGAUUUGAAGGCCUCUCUAAGCAUUUAGAUUCAUUCUUGCAAAUAUUAUCUCUUGUGCUGCUAUGUUGUUUUCUGUGAUUGUUCCUAGUUCAUAAAUAGACUAGAUAGUACUUAGUCGAUCUGAAGGUCGAGGGUAGUAGGGGCCGACUGAGUUCUUAACUUAAAAGAAGCGGGGGGAAGGGUGGAAAAAUGAAGGUAUAAUGAUUUUUGAGCUUGCUUUGCUUGAUCUUCUAUUUCUUGGUUGUUGCGCUUAUAUUUUUCUACUUAUUUAAUUCAUUCUUUGCUGCAUUUUGCAGC